AACGAACCCCUACUUCAAACUGGACCUGGGAAGAGCAACUAAGGUGCAAAGAGUUGAAAUCAUAUCAACUGAUCCCAAAAGCAUUAUUGGAAGCAAAGUUCACAUCGGAAAUAGAGGAGAUUUUCUGGACAAAAGGAUCGGAGUUAUCCGAGAAGUGGAAGGAAACAGAGCAUUGAUAGAUUUGGAAGAGAGUGUGGAAGGUUCCAGACUAUUUUGGGAGUUCUACAGUGGAGGAAGUGUAAGAACUUUGACUGUUUGCGAGAUAAGGGUCCUGGCAGGUGAUGGGGAUGAAGAUGAUACGGAGGAUUGUCCCCAGGGGACGGUAAAGUGUUCUGAUAGAGUGUGUCGUCAUGCACAUAUGUGCUAAGU